UCACUUUAUGUUGAAUGGUUCAACAAAAGCCUUCGAAGCUUCUACUUAUUGGUUCGAAUCCAAUGGAGUGAC
rnacentral:tRNA from 1 species